UACGGAGGGUGCAAGCGUUAUCCGGAUUUAUUGGGUUUAAAGGGUGCGCAGGCGGAUUUAUAAGUCAGUGGUGAAAUCCCGGGGCUCAACCCCGGAACUGCCAUUGAUACUGUAGGUCUUGAAUACGGUUGAAGUAGGCGGAAUGUAGCAUGUAGCGGUGAAAUGCAUAGAUAUGCUACAGAACACCGAUCGCGAAGGCAGCUUACUAAGCCGAUAUUGACGCUCAGGCACGAAAGCGUGGGUAGCGAACAGGAUUAGAUACCCUGGUAGUCCACGCCGUAAACGAUGAUCACUCGUUGUUGGCGAUACACAGUCAGUGACCAAGCGAAAGCGAUAAGUGAUCCACCUGGGGAGUACGAUCGCAAGGUUGAAACUCAAAGGAAUUGACGGGGGCCCGCACAAGCGGUGGAGCAUGUGGUUUAACUCGAUGAUACGCGAGGAACCUUACCUGGGCUCAAAUGCAAGUUGACGUAACGGGAAACCGUUAUUUCUUCGGACAAUUUGCAAGGUGCUGCAUGGUUGUCGUCAGCUCGUGCCGUGAGGUGUCGGGUUAAGUCCCAUAACGAGCGCAACCCCUAUCAUUAGUUGCCAUCAGGUAAAGCUGGGGACUCUAAUGAAACUGCCUACGCAAGUAGAGAGGAAGGUGGGGAUGACGUCAAAUCAGCACGGCCCUUACGUCCAGGGCUACACACGUGCUACAAUGGCCGGUACAGAGGGCAGCCACCCCGUGAGGGGGAGCGAAUCUCGAAAGCCGGUCUCAGUUCGGAUCGAAGUCUGCAACCCGACUUCGUGAAGCUGGAAUCGCUAGUAAUCGCGCAUCAGCCAUGGCGCGGUGAAUACGUUCCCGGGCC
rnacentral:rRNA from 1 species